GAUCCUGGCUUAGGAUGAACGCUAGCUACAGGCUUAACACAUGCAAGUCGAGGGGCAGCAUUGGGAUAGCUUGCUAUUCAGAUGGCGACCGGCGCACGGGUGAGUAACGCGUAUCCAACCUUCCUGCCAGUAGGGAACAGCCCGGCGAAAGUCGGAUUAAUGCCCUAUGUUCUUCAAUGCGGACAUCUAAGUUGAAGGAAAGAUUCAUCGCUGGCAGAUGGGGAUGCGUCCGAUUAGCUUGCCGGCGGGGUAACGGCCCACCGGGGCGACGAUCGGUAGGGGUUCUGAGAGGAAGGUCCCCCACACUGGUACUGAGACACGGACCAGACUCCUACGGGAGGCAGCAGUGAGGAAUAUUGGUCAAUGGGCGUAAGCCUGAACCAGCCAAGUAGCGUGCAAGGAUGACGGCCCUACGGGUUGUAAACUGCUUUUAUGCGGGGAUAAAGUGCGGCACGUGUGCCGCUUUGCAGGUACCGCAUGAAUAAGGACCGGCUAAUUCCGUGCCAGCAGCCGC
rnacentral:rRNA from 1 species